UGCGUAGGGUGCGAGCGUUAAUCGGAAUUACUGGGCGUAAAGCGUGCGCAGGCGGUAAGUCAGUCAGCUGUGAAAGCCCCGGGCUCAACCUGGGAACUGCGGUUGAAACUGGCGAACUAGAAUCUGGCAGAGGGGGGUGGAAUUCCACGUGUAGCAGUGAAAUGCGUAGAGAUGUGGAGGAACACCGAUGGCGAAGGCAGCCCCCUGGGCUGAGAUUGACGCUCAGGCACGAAAGCGUGGGGAGCAAACAGG
rnacentral:rRNA from 1 species